GUGGGGAAUAUUGCGCAAUGGGCGAAAGCCUGACGCAGCGACGCCGCGUGAGGGAUGACGGCCUUCGGGUUGUAAACCUCUUUCAGCAGGGACGAAGCGCAAGUGACGGUACCUGCAGAAGAAGGACCGGCCAACUACGUGCCAGCAGCCGCGGUAAUACGUAGGGUCCGAGCGUUGUCCGGAAUUAUUGGGCGUAAAGAGCUCGUAGGCGGUCUGUCGCGUCGGCUGUGAAAACACGGGGCUCAACUCCGUGCCUGCAGUCGAUACGGGCAGACUAGAGUUCGGUAGGGGAGACUGGAAUUCCUGGUGUAGCGGUGAAAUGCGCAGAUAUCAGGAGGAACACCGGUGGCGAAGGCGGGUCUCUGGGCCGAAACUGACGCUGAGGAGCGAAAGCGUGGGGAGCGAACAGGAUUAGAAACCCGGGUAGUCC
rnacentral:rRNA from 1 species